rnacentral:rRNA from 1 species
AGUGAACGCUGGCGGUAGGCCUAACACAUGCAAGUCGAACGGCAGCACAGUAAGAGCUUGCUCUUACGGGUGGCGAGUGGCGGACGGGUGAGGAAUACAUCGGAAUCUACUUUUUCGUGGGGGAUAACGUAGGGAAACUUACGCUAAUACCGCAUACGACCUACGGGUGAAAGCAGGGGAUCUUCGGACCUUGCGCGAUUGAAUUAGCCGAUGUCGGAUUAGCUAGUUGGCGGGGUAAAGGCCCACCAAGGCGACGAUCCGUAGCUGGUCUGAGAGGAUGAUCAGCCACACUGGAACUGAGACACGGUCCAGACUCCUACGGGAGGCAGCAGUGGGGAAUAUUGGACAAUGGGCGCAAGCCUGAUCCAGCCAUACCGCGUGGGUGAAGAAGGCCUUCGGGUUGUAAAGCCCUUUUGUUGGGAAAGAAAAGCAGCAGGUUAAUACCCCGCUGUUCUGACGGUACCCAAAGAAUAAGCAACGGCUAACUUCGUG